rnacentral:snRNA from 1 species
UUCCCGUUAGCCGCUGCCGUU